UGAUGAGAGUGGGAUUCGAACCCACGCCCCUUUCGAGACCAGGAAAUACUUUACAGUAUGGUAAUUCAAGUGGACCUGAACCUGGCGCCUUAGACCGCUCGGCCAUCUCACC